rnacentral:rRNA from 1 species
GGUCCCCCCGGUCGCCGUUAGAGUUUUGAUCAUGGCUCAGAUUGAACGCUGGCGGCAGGCCUAACACAUGCAAGUCGAGCGGUAGAGAGAAGCUUGCUUCUCUUGAGAGCGGCGGACGGGUGAGUAAUGCCUAGGAAUCUGCCUGGUAGUGGGGGAUAACGUUCGGAAACGGACGCUAAUACCGCAUACGUCCUACGGGAGAAAGCAGGGGACCUUCGGGCCUUGCGCUAUCAGAUGAGCCUAGGUCGGAUUAGCUAGUUGGUGAGGUAAUGGCUCACCAAGGCGACGAUCCGUAACUGGUCUGAGAGGAUGAUCAGUCACACUGGAACUGAGACACGGUCCAGACUCCUACGGGAGGCAGCAGUGGGGAAUAUUGGACAAUGGGCGAAAGCCUGAUCCAGCCAUGCCGCGUGUGUGAAGAAGGUCUUCGGAUUGUAAAGCACUUUAAGUUGGGAGGAAGGGUUGUAGAUUAAUACUCUGCAAUUUUGACGUUACCGACAGAAUAAGCACCGGCUAACUCUGUGCCAGCAGCCGCGGUAAUACAGAGGGUGCAAGCGUUAAUCGGAAUUACUGGGCGUAAAGCGCGCGUAGGUGGUUUGUUAAGUUGGAUGUGAAAUCCCCGGGCUCAACCUGGGAACUGCAUUCAAAACUGACUGACUAGAGUAUGGUAGAGGGUGGUGGAAUUUCCUGUGUAGCGGUGAAAUGCGUAGAUAUAGGAAGGAACACCAGUGGCGAAGGCGACCACCUGGACUAAUACUGACACUGAGUGAAAGAGCAAGAAAGUAUGUUU